GAUGAACGCUGGCGGCGUGCCUAAUACAUGCAAGUCGAGCGAACAGAUGAGGAGCUUGCUCCUCUGACGUUAGCGGCGGACGGGUGAGUAACACGUGGAUAACCUACCUAUAAGACUGGGAUAACUUCGGGAAACCAGAGCUAAUACCGGAUAAUAUAUUGAACCGCAUGGUUCAAUAGUGAAAGACGGUUUUGCUGUCACUUAUAGAUGGAUCCGCGCCGCAUUAGCUAGUUGGUAAGGUAACGGCUUACCAAGGCGACGAUGCGUAGCCGACCUGAGAGGGUGAUCGGCCACACUGGAACUGAGACACGGUCCAGACUCCUACGGGAGGCAGCAGUAGGGAAUCUUCCGCAAUGGGCGAAAGCCUGACGGAGCAACGCCGCGUGAGUGAUGAAGGUCUUCGGAUCGUAAAACUCUGUUAUUAGGGAAGAACAAAUGUGUAAGUAACUAUGCACGUCUUGACGGUACCUAAUCAGAAAGCCACGGCGAACUACGU
rnacentral:rRNA from 1 species